rnacentral:lncRNA from 1 species
CUGCCGACUCCAGGACCCAAGCCCACAAUGCAGGUGAAUUUCCUUUGUUCCUAGAUGCCCUGCCUGGACUUCCUCUCCUCUAGGUUUGCAUUGCUGGGGGCGGUGGUGGGGCGGGGAGGGGGGGUGCCUGCAGGUGUCAAGGCUGUGUUGGCUCCACAUUCAACCGAACAGAGAUCAGUGCCCCCAUGUCAUGACCUCCCAGCUCCUCCCACUUUCGACAAGCUGAGGAUGCUCUUGGAAGAGCAGCCCAGCACUCCUGUGAGGGUGACGUAGUGUGUGAGACGGUGGAAGUGACAUUGCUAAUGAGGGAAAUCAACUGCUCCAACCAGAGGUGGAAUCUAAGGGAGGAAACGACAGGGAGGCCCGUAGAUAUAUGGUCUUGACCAAAGCCCCGGCAGAAAUCAGUCUCGGGCUAGAAAAUUGAGCUGUGAUUAUUACAAAGAGUCAGAGUGAUGGCUUCCAUCACGAUGCUUCAGGAACUCCAUAAAGAGCAGCCCAAACAAUUUCGACGUUAAGUGUUUGAGAGAGAGAAGGAUGGUUUGUAAAAGGAGGAGCUUGUUACUCCUCGAAAAGCUACUAUGAAGAUGUCAAGCGUAUGGAAAUAACAGAUGGGCAAGGCGGGCUGAGAUCAUUACUCUGAACUCUAAGUGCGGUUAUUGACAAGCACAGCCCACAUGGCUGGGCAAAUAGAUGUGCCUGGGAGUAGGAGGGAGGUACAUAAAGAAAGAAAAGCUGAAACCAGAUGAUUUCAAAACAUCAGGGGGUGGAGAGAAAUAGCAUUAGGAGGAGGCAUUUUUCAAAGCAAAAUAAGGGGGGGGGGAGGUUUGGGUGAGAAUGUGAGCAAGGAAGAUCCCAUAGAAAGAUAAUUAACUGACUACUUUGUAUUAAAUUACAGGUAACAUAGUAGUUCUUGAUGUUGGAGGGUUAACUUGGAAUAUCUUAUGAAAGCUGUGGCCUCUUUUUCUUAAAAAAAAAAAAAACCAAAACCCUCAGUCGUGUACGCUCUAUUUUUGGUAAACAGUAUGAGGAAUGUCAGUGGACUUCCCAGUGGCAGAGAAGAGCAGUUUCUUCUCUGAUGGGAAGAGACAUAGAGAUAACGAAAGCGCAGAUCCCAGACUUUUCACCUAGCAGAUUUCUAGGGAUGCCAUGGAAACGGGUCCUUCCUAUGGAUACAAUGUCUCAGCCCCAAACUGUGUUGUAUCCCUUCCUGGUGCUGGUAGGGUUAAAGGCUUCUUUGAAUUGUUGCUUGAGCAUUUGACUAAAAUCAGGCUGAGUGCCCUCUGUAGUUCUUGUCCUUCCUCUGUGAAUCAGUGGGGGUGCUGUUAGAAUGGGGGGGCAUUUUUUUCUUGGGACAAGACAGCCCCACAAAUUACAUGUCUUAUAUCUUAGCCUCUAAGCAUUAACCACCAGUAGGAACGCCUUCCUGGCCACGGUGGCCACCUCCCACCCCCUUUAAAAUGCCAUUUAAGAGCCUGUAGGAUAUGUCAUUAGAACAGCUGUUCCAGAGACUGGUGUUUAGAGAUGAACAAUCACUGGCUGGAAGGUAUGGAGUCUUAUUACAUUUAUCCAUACAGCUUCUCAUAGAAGACUGAUGCUAAAAUGAGUCUUCCCAGUUGAGGCAUUUUCUGGCAAGUUUAGGCAUAGUCUCUGUAAAGUAAGGUAAGAAAAUCUACAUGAAGGAUCUAGAAGAAACGAUGUUGAGUGUAUUAACCUUGACUUAAGUGGCAGAACUGGGCUAGACUAGGUUCCUUUGCUCUUAGUACUCUUCCCAUUCUAUCUGCCCGUCCUUUGGUGCUGGGGACGGGGAAGUGAAGAAAUUAUAUUCAGGACUGCCUUCACCAAAAGGGCAGAUGGCCUUAUGAUUUGAAAGUUCUAUUUUGAGACCAGUUAAGCGGGAGGAAUUUCAGUUCAUUGCUCGUGUGUCCUUUACCAGCACUGGGAGGUCCCUGAGCAACGCUCAUGGUUAGCAACGUCUAGAAGAUGACACACCAUAUGCUGAAAGGUAGGCACUGAAGACCUUUGAUGGCAUUAGAAGAGGGUCAUACAGCCUCCCAAGAGGGCGAAGAGCAAGAACAAAUGUGAACUGGAGCUCAGAUGUCAGCCUGCUCCACAAGACAAGGGACACAGGGCAGCCUCAGAUGGGCAGAGGAUCAAGAUCAAAUGCUCUGAAACAGGAGCACACUGAUCCCCACAAUAAACAGGUGGACAGGGAACAGCCUCACUGAGAUGCGCCUUGGAGAUGAUGGCUGCUGGGGUUUUGGGUUCUCUUCUGCAAGUAGUUCCUAGCUUUGCCAGAAUAUAAAUAGACUAUAUCGAGACUUAGCGCUAGAAGGGACCUAAAAGGCUUGAUAGCUCAGUUUCAUUACUUUAUCAGGAAAAAAACCCAAAGUCCAGAGAAGUUAAUUAAUUUGCCUAAGGUGACAUAGGUAAGAGAGUUACAGAAUAGGAUGGGAAGUCAGAUCUCUUUCUCUCAAUUAUUCAUUUAUUCUGCAGACACUGAGCACUUUCUGUGCACUGUCCUUGAGCUUGAACCUAAUGGACUAUGGAGCUGCGUAGGGCGCACUGCUUGUUUUUCAGAGGUUCUCAAUCAACCAGGCAAAGAGGCCCAUGAAUAAAUCAUGAGAGGACAGAAUAGUACGAAUAACAUCAAAGCUUUUCCACAAUGCUAAAUGAUACAUAUAAAGUGCUGAGAGCCACUGGCUACUCGAUUAUAUUAAGUAGGCGGUGGAGGUCUUGUCCUGUGUGCUGGUCCCCAUCUACAUCGGCCCAUCCCUGAAGGAAUUCAGCUUUCAGCCUCGAUCCUUCCCACGUACGAACCAGUACUAACAUGGCAGUGGGCAUGUUAAGAGUUUAGGUCCAAAGCAGUUGGAGUGUGGAACUGUUUCUGUCAAUGUGGGCCCAGUGUCCUGUGCACCUGACUACCCACCUUUGGCAUGACUUAAAACGGCCCAAGUACAAAGGAAUCCAUGAAAAGGACAGACAGGAGGAGUUCCUGCUAUAGCGCAGUGGGUUAAGAAUCUGACUGCAGCGGCUCAGGUCACUUUGGAGGCUUGGGGUCCAUCCCUGGCCUGCAGCAGUGGGGAGAAGGAUCCAGGAUUGCUGCAGCUGCAGAGUAGGUCACAGUUGCGUCUUGGAUUCAGUCCCUGGCCCAGGAACUUUCACAUGCUGCAGGUGUGGCCAUUUGGGAGAGACAGGAGCGAGGGAGGACUCUCACCGUGCUCCUUGCAGGAAGGAUCCGCAGACUUUGUCUCGCAGCCUCUGCUUUCAGGCUUUGAGAUGGGCCUCUCUUUGUGUAUCUGCCUCACUCCCCUGCUCUUUUUGGCUUAUGUUUUUAGGCUUAUUUGUCAUCAUGCAUAUGAUCCAGUCAGGUCUGAGAUUACCUGGCUGAGGAGGUCCAGUGUCUCCUAUUGUUUAGUUUGCUUAUAGGUCCUGUGCUGAAGAGAUAGAGUGAGUCAGUUCAAACUCCCUCAAUUUGGAUCUGCUGACCACCCCUCUUCCACUCAGCUGUGGUCAGAGGAGUGUGGUCAACUCUUGCAGCCAAGAACCUGGGUCCCCCUCCAUCAUCAGUGGCUGUGAAUCAACCAUGCCCUAAAGUCUCAUGGUCCGGGGAGGGAAAUGAAACUCUAUACCGUAGCCUUCCUCUACACCUUCCAGCUUUGACGACGCGUCUGUCUUAAUUUUUCUGUCUUCACUCAAGCUCUCCAGUGUAAUGGAGUUCAGCUCCACUGACUGUUCGGUGUUAUCAGCCUGCUCAGUCUGCUAUAAUGGAAUACCACAGGCUAGGUGGCUCAAACACCAGAAAUUUAUUUUAUCCCAGUUCUGAAGGCGAGAAGUCCAAGAUUAAGGUGCCAGGUGGUUGGGUUUCUGGGGAGCUCUCUCUCCCUGGCUUGUGGAUGGCCACCUUCUCCCUGUGUCCUCACAUGGACCUUCCUGUCUUGGAGAGUGUGUGUUCUGGUUUCGCUUCCUCUUCUUCUAAGGGCACCAGGACUGUGGCCUUAGGGCCCCACCCUCAGGACCUGAUUUAAUCUUAGCUACCUCCUCUGAAACCCAACCUCCCAAUACAGUCACUCUGGGGGUAAGGCUUCAACAUGUGAGUUUUGGAGGAACACAGUUCAGUCUAUGACACCCAGCGGUCCUCGUCUACCUAGGAACCCUCCCUGUAGCUGGGUUCCUUGCUCCUGGGUUCCCCCUUUCUAUUCUGGGUCUUUGCUGCUAGCGGGGGUCACAAGAGCCAAGAUAAAACGUUGACCAGUACUAAAUCAGGCAGAAGUCAUUCAGGCUUUUAGGAGAACGGUCAUCUUUGGAAAUCAGUGACCAGAAGGAGUGAGAAGGGCUUUGGGGAGGAUAGUUCUGAUUCAUAACCUGAUGAGUGUUUUGAUUGUGAAAAUUCAUCAGCCUGUAUACUGAUGACAUGUGCAUUUUCUGUGUACAUCUGUUCCAGUUAUUCAGCGCUGUGUAACAAUUCAUUCCAACCCUGGGUAGGCUUCAAGCAACAACAUUCAUUUUUUUCAUGAGUCUACAGUCCAGGCAGGGCUUGGUGGGGGUAACUGGUCUCAGCCCCAUUUGGUGUCAGCUGAGGCAGCUGGAAGGUUGGACACUAGGAACAUCUGAGGCCUCACUCAUCCCUAUGUCUUGAAAUGGAUGGUGGUGGUCAGGUGAAACCUUACCUGGGACUAUCCCAUGGGGCCCCCUACAUGGUGGCUGGGUUCCCAGCAUGAGCACAGGAGUCAGGUAGAAGCCAUACUGCCUUUUAUCACCGAGUCCUUGAGGAGCAGGGUCACUCACCCUACAUUUUGUUCAUCACGUCAGCCACACAGGCUCAUCCAAUUUCCAGGUGAGGAGAAAUAUAUGCCAUUUCCAGGGGGGGAACAGCAACAUUCUGCAACAGAAUUUGGGACCAACUAUAUUGUUGUGGCAAAUAUCUGAAAAAAUCCACUCUGCUACAAUGUUAUACUUUAAUAAAAAGUGGGGGGGAAAAAACCUUCGGUACAAUAAACCU